UACGUAGGGACCAAGCGUUGUUCGGAUUUACUGGGCGUAAAGGGCGCGUAGGCGGCAAUUCAAGUCAGCUGUGAAAUCUCCGGGCUUAACUCGGAGCGGCCAAGUGAUACUGUCGUGCUAGAGUGCGGAAGGGGCUACUGGAAUUCUCGGUGUAGCGGUGAAAUGCGUAGAUAUCGAGAGGAACACCUGCGGCGAAGGCGGGUAGCUGGGCCGACACUGACGCUGAGGCGCGAAAGCUAGGGGAGCGAACGGG
rnacentral:rRNA from 1 species